AUUGGAGGGCAAGUCUGGUGCCAGCAGCCGCGGUAAUUCCAGCUCCAAGAGCGUAUAUUAAAGUUGUUGCAGUUAAAAAGCUCGUAGUUGAACCUUGGGGGCACUGCGCCGGUCCGCCGCAAGGCGAGCACUGGAGGCGGCGCCCCUUUCCUCUGUCGUCUCCCCUUGUGGGGGGUGACAGAAUAUUACUUUGAGUAAAUGAGAGUGUUCAAAGCAGGCGCACGCUUGAAUCUGUUAGCAUGGAAUAAUAGAAUAGGACGCAUGGUUCUAUUUUGUUGGUUUCUAGGACCAUCGUAAUGAUUAAUAGGGACGGUCGGGGGCAUCAGUAUUCAGUUGUCAGAGGUGAAAUUCUUGGAUUUACUGAAGACUAACUACUGCGAAAGCAUUUGCCAAGGACGUUUUCAUUAAUCAAGAACGAAAGUUAGGGGAUCGAAGAUGAUCAGAUACCGUCGUAGUCUUAACCAUAAACUAUGCCGACUAGGGAUCGG
rnacentral:rRNA from 2 species